rnacentral:rRNA from 1 species
UGCAAGUCGAACGAUGAAGCCCCAGCUUGCUGGGGUGGAUUAGUGGCGAACGGGUGAGUAACACGUGAGCAACCUGCCCCUGACUCUGGGAUAAGCGCUGGAAACGGCGUCUAAUACCGGAUAUGCACUGUAGCCGCAUGGUUUGCAGUGGGAAAGAUUUAUCGGUUGGGGAUGGGCUCGCGGCCUAUCAGCUUGUUGGUGAGGUAAUGGCUCACCAAGGCGUCGACGGGUAGCCGGCCUGAGAGGGUGACCGGCCACACUGGGACUGAGACACGGCCCAGACUCCUACGGGAGGCAGCAGUGGGGAAUAUUGCACAAUGGGCGCAAGCCUGAUGCAGCAACGCCGCGUGAGGGAUGACGGCCUUCGGGUUGUAAACCUCUUUUAGCAGGGAAGAAGCCUUCGGGUGACGGUACCUGCAGAAAAAGCGCCGGCUAACUACGUGCCAGCAGCCGCGGUAAUACGUAGGGCGCAAGCGUUAUCCGGAAUUAUUGGGCGUAAAGAGCUCGUAGGCGGUUUGUCGCGUCUGCUGUGAAAACUGGAGGCUCAACCUCCAGCCUGCAGUGGGUACGGGCAGACUAGAGUGCGGUAGGGGAGAUUGGAAUUCCUGGUGUAGCGGUGGAAUGCGCAGAUAUCAGGAGGAACACCGAUGGCGAAGGCAGAUCUCUGGGCCGUUACUGACGCUGAGGAGCGAAAGGGUGGGGAGCAAACAGGCUUAGAUACCCUGGUAGUCCACCCCGUAAACGUUGGGAACUAGUUGUGGGGGCCUUUCCACGGUCUCUGUGACGCAGCUAACGCAUUAAGUUCCCCGCCUGGGGAGUACGGCCGCAAGGCUAAAACUCAAAGGAAUUGACGGGGACCCGCACAAGCGGCGGAGCAUGCGGAUUAAUUCGAUGCAACGCGAAGAACCUUACCAAGGCUUGACAUAUACGAGAACGCUGCAGAAAUGUAGAACUCUUUGGACACUCGUAUACAGGUGGGUGCAUGGUUGUCGUCAGCUCGUGUCGUGAGAUGUUGGGUUAAGUCCCGCAACGAGCGCAACCCUCGUU